rnacentral:rRNA from 1 species
AAUUAUUGGGCAUAAAGGGCAUCUAGGCGGAUAUACAAGUCAGGGGUGAAAACUUAGGGCUCAACUCAAAGCUUGCCUUUGAAACUGUAUAUCUAGAGUGCUGGAGAGGUGGACGGAACUACACGAGUAGAGGUGAAAUUCGUAGAUAUGUGUAGGAAUGCCGAUGAUGAAGAUAGUCCACUGGACAGCAACUGACGCUGAAGUGCGAAAGCUAGGGGAGCAAACAGGAUUAGAUACCCUGGUAGUCCGCACAGUAAACGAUGGAUGCCCGCUGUUGGUACCUGGUAUCAGCGGCUAAGCGAAAGCAUUAAGCAUCCCACCUGGGGAGUACGCCGGCAACGGUGAAACUCAAAGGAAUUGACGGGGGCCCGCACAAGCGGAGGAACAUGUGGUUUAAUUCGAUGAUACGCGAGGAACCUUACCCGGGCUUGAA